CGGGGCGUGGCGCAGCCUGGUAGCGCACCUGCCUUGGGCGCAGGGGGUCGGAGGUUCAAAUCCUCUCGCCCCGA
rnacentral:tRNA from 2 species